AAAAAAAAAGUUAUGGUUCAAAGGCUAGGCUCACCAAGCUUAGAACUGCUGCAGCUUGUUAUCCCUCCACUGUCAAGAGCCAGAGGUCUUCGCUGCUCUGCGAAACCAGCCUCACGCAGUGCCCUCUCGUCUAGGAACCAAGAGACCAAGGCCUUCGCCCAAAUCCCGUGGCCCAACUCUCAACUUGGAGAGGGCAAGCCAACAUAUUGCAGAAACCAGCCCAGCCCAACAAGCCAUAGCCAUGUCCCAAUACUUUAGUGCUCCCACAUGGGUGACAAGUUGACGCUACCCAACUCAGC
rnacentral:SRP_RNA from 1 species